ensembl:lncRNA
GGGACUACAGGUGCCCGCCACCACUAAUUUUUUGUAUUUUUUAGUAGAGACAAGGUUUCACCGUGUUAGCCAGGAUAGUCUUGAUCUCCUGACCUCGUGAUCCACCCACCUCGGCCUCCCAAAGUGCUGGGAUUACAGCACAGUCUUCUUUUUCUGGCACUAGACUGAUGGAAUAGCCCCUACUUGGGACAUACACUUUUUAUAGUGAAGAGCAGGAGCAAGAGACAAACCAUACCAUGCAAGCACAUUCAAAGCUCUUGCUUGAAUAUGGUGUAAAUCAAAUUGUUCAUAUACCAUUGACCAAAGUAAAUCAUGUGGACAAGCCUAACAUGAGACUGGAGAAGCAUACUCUACCUACAGAGUGGUAAACACGGGUGGUAUAAUACUCUCAUAGUAGAGAAAGUGAAUUGGUCAUGAAUAUCUGCUCCUAUAUUACACAUAACACACAGCCCCUCCUCAAGGAAGACCAAAAAUCUUAUCCAGUCAUGUGAGACCUAAAUUCUAGGAUCUCAUCUAGAUGAAGGUGUAGAUGAAGUGUUUCUUGAUCCCGUGACUUGUUAACUUAAACAACAAGAUAUGUCUACCUAAAAUGAACAACAGAGACCAACUCUCCAAAGCAGAGUUUAUUUGGGAAUAGCAGGGGAUUGCAAUCUGGGAUAUGUGUGCUAUAGCUGACCACAGGCUCAUCCAAAGGGGUUGUGGCAAAGGGGAAGCUUUUAAAAACAAAAAGUCCACAUAAACUGUUUUGAAACAAAGACCAUUGUUGCAGGAGUUUGUUGCAGGAGUUGGCAGUAGCUCAUGGGUGGAGACAUUGAUUGUUAGGUGAGUAUCCUUGUGUAAGUGGCUUAUCUAGAAUACUGUGGUUUUGAGGACUUUUUUGCAUAGUUCCCAUCACAGGCAUACUCAAAUGAGGGCCCCUCCUCCAUGACCUCAAGUCCAUUUUGUUUGUUAGAGUUUGACAUUAGUGACUCCAUUUUGAUAAUUUCACAGUUAAUGCAUUGUGGUGAUCAUUUCACAAUGUAUACGUAUAUCAAAACAUCAAGUUGUACUCCUUAAUUAUAUAAAAUUUUUGUCACUUUGAUAUCCAGGCUACAUGAAGUAUAAACCUAUGUGAAGUAUAAAACUUGCCACACUGGGACUCUGGGAACAUUGGUGAUAAGUGUGUGUUUAGGGUGGUUUGUAGGGGCAAAGAAAGUCUUGACAUUAUUUCAGAAAUCCUAGGUACACCAAUUAACAUCUGCUUUACCUACAAUAAUAGGUCCAGGUCAGACUUUUUGAUAAUAGUGUUAAGUGUCAUAGAAUGUUUUCUGUAGUAAAAGAAUGUUUUACAAAAUACAGAAUUUGCUAUAAACAUUUGUGAAACACCCAGUAGAUUCUUUAGCAGCUGGUACUAUUCUGACGUAUGGUUAAUGCUAACAUAUACAGUUGGCCUUCCACGUCCAUGGGUUCCACAUCCAUGGAUUCAACCAUUGUGGAUCAAAAAUAUUUUUUAAAGUUGCUUGUGAGGCCAGGCGUGGUGGCUUAUGCCUGUAAUCCCAACACUUUGGGAGCCCGAGAUGGGCAGAUCAACUGAGGUCAGGAGUUCAAGACCAGCCUGGCCAAUAUGGUGAAACUCCAUCUCUACUAAAAAUACAAAAAUUAGCCAGGCAUGAUGGCUCAUGCCUGUAAUCCCAGCUACUCUAGAGUCUGAGGCACGAGAAUCGCUGGGAGACGGAGGUUGUAGUGAGCCGAGAUCAUACCAUCGCACUCCAGCCUGGUCGACAGAGUGAGACUCCGUCUCAAAAAAAAAAAAAAAA